AAUGACAUUAUGCUUUCCCUUUAGGCUCCCCACUUUGUAUUAAAAGGGGACACUGGUAAGAAGACACCAUGGGUAUCAUUGUACAGCAAGCUCUGUGUAACUGGUCCCACUCUACUUCAAGCCUGUCUACCCAGAUCCAAUGCAAUUGAACAUUUAUUAGGGAUGUGGGCAUCCCUUUGAAAAUCAACCAGAAGUUUCCAAGAAGGAAAACAAAGAGCAUUUGUAUCCCAGUCCAGAAGGUGUUUACCCGUGUAUGACCUAUGUGGGUGACUUUCUUUCUAAGAUGUCUGAAAUGACUCAGGAUAAGUUCAUAUUCUUACAUGUCAAGCAUGUGUAUCACAAAAAUCUUGUGUAUUGGAGAUUACCUUAAAAAUCACCUCUGUGGAAUUAGGGGCUUCUGAAUGAAAAUGGGAAGUAAGCCUUUCCCUAAAUUUGACACACUGAAUACAGGACAGUUGAGAUGUGUGAGACAAGAUUGCACUAAUAAUUACCAUUAGUAGCUUAUCUGAAAUUAAGUUUCAUUGGUAACUUUGUACUUCUCUUAGUCAAACCGGAAACUCACACAAUCCAAGUGGUCUUAGAGGAUGCUGCAUCAAUCACAUGGAGAACAGAGUGCACCAUGGGUAUUGUAGUUUCUCUCCCGACUUUCCUCAGAGUGGAAAGAUGUGACCAAAUAAGAUGCUGAACACUUCCUUUGGGGUAACUCAUUUUAAGCUACAUUAGCCUUUGGCAUUUUCUUCCUUUUUCUUCUAGCAUAGUUUUUGUUUUCAUGGGUUAGAGUUAUUGCUUGGUUCUUUUGUAUUUCUACAUACUCCAUAUACCUAGCUCUCCAUCUCUAAUAAGAUACAUGGGAACAUAUCUAUUCGCAUAGCAGAUGUUGAUAACGGGCUAUCAUAAACCUAAUAAUGCAAUAAAAGUCAGUGGAAAUGAUAUUGACAUACAGAACUUAUCUUAGAGUCAAACUCAAAGAAGUCCCUCCUCUUUCCAGAAAGAGAUGCCUAUUACAUGACAGUAUCAUCAGGGGAUGAAUUCUGUAACAAUUUAUUACACAAUUAGUUCAGUGGUGAUGCUUACCAGUUCCUGAUGGUUUGCUCUUUGUAACACAGUUCAAAAUGAGCCAGGACAGGAUCUUCUCUUUCAAAUAUGUUACUCAGCUUCCAGAACGCGUUGGAAUAUAGUUUGGGGGCUACCUCCUAGAGUGAUAGCCAGAGAUCACCAUUUUCUGACAGUGAUGUUUAGUCCUGCUCUUGACCUCUGUUCUUUUCCCAGAUCAUUGUUCCUCUCUUGGUUAUUUGAACAAAUGAGUACAAUGCUAUUGAAGAAAGUGUUGCCUCUUAAAACAGACCACUCAGCCCCUAGGGGGCUGAAGGAGAAAGCCUCUAUCAUCAGAACUCUCCUGGAAGCGAGCCAGCCAUUGUUGUUUCCUAAGGUUUUCCUGUUUUUUUACCCUUUUGUAGCUUUGAGUUGGGAUUUCUUACUGUACAUAAUUGUGUUCUUGAUGAGACGGUGAAGAUGUUUAUUACAUGAGAAAUAAACAUUGCCUGGGAACCACAAAAGAAAAUAAUGUUUGCAUUUGUAGAAAUUAAAAACUCUCCUGUACAGCAAAUAAAAUACACUAAUCAUAAAUAUGAAGUAGAUAAAUGAAAUGAAAACAAACAAACUGCAAAGAAAUACUUUUAAUACACCCCACAAAGCAAAUUUAUUCAAUUCACAAAGAUGGUACAGAAAAAAAAUGAGGACAAAAGAUGAUCAACCUGAGACAGUAAAGGAAGAGGGACAUGAAACAUAGCUCAGAGAUGACGAAUGCAAAUGGCCAGUAAACACAUGAAAAAAUUUCAACCUCAUAAUGAACAAAAUGCAAAUCAAAUCCAAUAAAAAGAAACUUACCAGACUGACAGAUUAAAUGUUUGCUGAUGAUAGCUAGCAGGGGGAGUUGGGAUGUGAAUGUGACAAAACUUUGUUUUAUGAUUUAUUUUUACUUUUUAUGUUGUUCAUAUUCUUUUGACCUAAUAACUCUACUCCCGGAAAUUUUCUUCUCUCAUGUGAUGCUCAAGAGAUAAAGAGGUUUUGAGUUCAAGAUGUUCAAUGAAAUAUUUGUAAUCACAACAGAACUUGAAAACAUCCUAUCAACAGGAAAUGGUGUAAAUAAAAAUAAACUAUGUGAGCAGCUCAGUUGGAUGGAAACAGAAGCAAACUGGGUUUGCUUGGGCUAAGGCAGAGACUCUCAAAAAGGAUGUCGUUAACUAUCAAAAGCGAGUCACCAAUAAUCAACAGCGAAUAAACUAUGAUUAACUUUGCUUAAACAGGAUAAACAAAUGCCUGCUGGAGCUCACAUACUUUUUUUUUUCUUUUUUUCUUUUCCUUUCUCUUUUAACUAAACCUGUUCAUGGCCUACUUUGUUCAGGCAACUUUGUAGGGACAGCCGUACUGUAUUAGUUACUUUGUUCAUUGCUGCAGCAAAGUACUUAGGGAAGGGGAGGACUUCAUUUUGGUUCACAGCCUAAGUGUGCAGCUCACAUAGUGAGGAGGUCAAGGAAUAGAAGAAGCCUGAGGCAGCCAAUCACAUUACGCCCACAGCCAGAAAUCUCGCAGAGACUGAUGAAAUGCCUGCCUUGCAAUUCUUUUCUUCUUUUUAUUCAGUUAGGGCGAGUCUUCCAACCUCUAAUCUAGAAAAGCCUUCAGAGAUAGCACCGUAGAUUUGUCUCAAAGUUUCCUCUAGAACCCAAAAAGCAGACAAUUAACAUAAGCCAUGCCACACUGUAACUGUAAACACAUUUCUAUAAUAUCAUAUCAUUCAAUUUUGAUUAUUUGCCCAAUGCCUGAGUCCACAUUGUUUAUGUUUAUUUACUUUGUGGCUUCUGUCAUUUUUGCCCACUAUAAUGUCAACUUGAUAAGGAUGGGAACCUUAUCUUACCGCACUCUGCACUUGUCCCAACACUGGCACAGACAACCGGAAAACUUCCCUUUGGAAGAUAGAGCUGAGGAUGGGAAGAAAGGUGUGGGCAGAGGGAAGGCAACUAUAAAGACUAAAGACAAGAAUAGGGUUAUGGAUAAUGGGGGGAUGGUUUCGGGGCUGAAGAAAUGUCUCUGAAGUUAAGAGCAGUAGUUGCUCUUGCAGAGGGCCUGUGUUAAAUUCCCAGCACCCACGUGGCAGCUCACCACCAUCUGUAGCUCAAGUUCCGUAGGAUUCUCCACAUGUACCAGACACACAGGUGAUGCAGGUGAAAUUAUUCAUACGCACACAGAAUCUUAAAGAUUUUUAUUUAAGUAAUAACUUGAAUUUUUCAUUUUGUUUACUUUAGCACUGCAAUCACUAGCUCAGUCAUGAAACGCAGGGUUAGGAGCAGCCCCAUCUAAAAUGAACAUCAGGUGAGGCUGAUCUCGGCUCCAAGGGUUCUGAGCCAUUUAUCAGUAGUUUAGCAUAAAUGGAUCCCAUCAGUUACCUAAGUCACUGACUUCUCUGUGCAGGGUUGAUGGGGAGGUCACUGCACAGUAUGGGUUUCAGGCCACACACCUCAGAGCUACUGAUUUGGGGAGCACACUGCUGAUGGCCACUCAGCUGUGUAAAGAGGAAGAGAGUCCCAGUGUCUUUGCAGCUUCUACACCCACCUUGUCACUCAGCUCUCUGGUUCUGAUAUUUAAUACGCAGCUCCUCUAGGAGACAUUCCUGUUCCGAGUAUAACUUUAUCAAAACCCCCACAGCUAGAGUCUAGCGCCAAACCAAGACUAGCUUCUCUUUGUAUAUGACCUACAAGCCAGAAAAAAAUUCUACAUGUUAGAUGA
rnacentral:lncRNA from 1 species